rnacentral:rRNA from 1 species
GAUGAACGCUGACAGCAUGCUUAACACAUGCAAGUCAACUGUGGCGGACGGGUGAGUAACGCGUAAAGAACUUGCCUCACAGCUAGGGACAACAUUUGGAAACGAAUGCUAAUACCUGAUACUGUGAGAGAGCUUUGCGUCCCAUUAGCUAGUUGGAGAGGUAACGGCUCACCAAGGCGAUGAUGGGUAGCCGGCCUGAGAGGGUGAUCGGCCACAAGGGGACUGGGACACCGCCCUUAGUCAUACGGGGGGCAUCAGUGAAGAAUUGUGGACAAUGGACCAAAGUCUGAUCCAGCAAUUCUGUGUGCACGAUGAAGUUUUCGGGAUGUAAAGUGCUUUCAGUUGGGAAGCGGUACCAACAGAAGAAGUGACGGCUAAAUACGUGCCAGCAGCCGCGGUAAUUC